UCUGGGACAAGCCCUGGAAACGGGGUCUAAUACCGGAUAACACUUGCCGAGGCAUCUCGGUGGGUUGAAAGCUCCGGCGGUGAAGGAUGAGCCCGCGGCCUAUCAGCUUGUUGGUGAGGUAGAAGCUCACCAAGGCGACGACGGGUAGCCGGCCUGAGAGGGCGACCGGCCACACUGGGACUGAGACACGGCCCAGACUCCUACGGGAGGCAGCAGUGGGGAAUAUUGCACAAUGGGCGAAAGCCUGAUGCAGCGACGCCGCGUGAGGGAUGACGGCCUUCGGGUUGUAAACCUCUUUCAGCAGGGAAGAAGCGAAAGUGACGGUACCUGCAGAAGAAGCGCCGGCUAACUACGUGCCAGCAGCCGCGGUAAUACGUAGGGCGCAAGCGUUGUCCGGAAUUAUUGGGCGUAAAGAGCUCGUAGGCGGUCUGUCGCGUCGGAUGUGAAAGCCCGGGGCUUAACCCCGGGUCUGCAUUCGAUACGGGCAGACUAGAGUGUGGUAGGGGAGAUCGGAAUUCCUGGUGUAGCGGUGAAAUGCGCAGAUAUCAGGAGGAACACCGGUGGCGAAGGCGGAUCUCUGGGCCAUUACUGACGCUGAGGAGCGAAAGCGUGGGGAGCGAACAGGAUUAGAUACCCUGGUAGUCCACGCCGUAAACGGUGGGAACUAGGUGUUGGCGACAUUCCACGUCGUCGGUGCCGCAGCUAACGCAUUAAGUUCCCCGCCUGG
rnacentral:rRNA from 1 species